rnacentral:lncRNA from 1 species
GUGACUGUAGGCAGAUGGAGCACGACUAAAGGAAGUGGGUCACUGGGGACAUGACUUGGGAUUAUAUAUUUUGGCCCUGACUCAGCCUCCUGUCCCUCUCUGCUUCCUACCAGCUUUCUUCGCUAGGCCCCUCUGCCAUGAUGCUCUGACUCCCUCAGGCCCAGAAUGAUGGAGUCGCCUGACCACAAACUGAACCUCUGAAACCAUAAGCCAAAUUAACUUUUCCUCAUCUUUUUUUUUUGGGGGGGGGUGUACUAGGGAGUGAACUCAGGGGCACACGACCGCAGAGUCAUAUCCCCAGCCCUAUUUUGUAUUUUAUUUAGAAUCAGGGUCCCACUGAGUUGCUUAGCACCUCACUUUUGCUGAGGCUGGCUUUGACUCAUGAUCUCCCUACCUCAGCCUCCUGAGCCGCUGGGAUUACAGGUGUGUGCCACUGUGCCCGGCAAACCUUUCCUCUUCUAAGUUCUCCUUUUCAGGUAUUUUGGUGAUGAAAACCUAACAUAAUGUGUUUGGGCAGGUGUGUGUAUACAUGCAUUUAUCCAUGGAUGUGUGUAUACAGUUGGAUAUCAUGCAUUGCAUGUAUGUGCUUAUGGGUAUCUGUACAUUGUGUACACAUACAGGUGUGUGUGAAAUUCUGUGCAUAUGAAGAAACGCAAGUACAUUGCAGGGCAUAGAUGUACAUCUACUGUGUAUGUACGUGGGCGAGUGUGCAUACAGGUGUGUGUAAUGUAUAGGUGGUCGUGAACAUGGCACAAGUGGAUGAGGGUGUGUAUGUAUGGGUAUACAGUGGUGCUCCACUUACCAUGGGGUCACAUCCCAAUAAGCCCACUCUAAGUUAAAAAUAUCAUAAUACAAAAACACAGUGAAAGUUGGGCGUGAUGGCACACACCUCUAAUCCCAAUGGCUCAGGAGGUCGAGGUGGGAGGAUUGCCAGUUAGAG